CUUUGUCUCUGCUUCUCCUCAUACACUUUGUGCGCUCGCUUAGCUUAGCUCAGCGGGCAGAGACUCUCAGUAGUUUGGCAAACGUUUAACAGAUAUGGUGCAGGUGCUUGCCUCGUUCACUCAAGAUGUCAACCGCGAGAUGAGUGAUUCGAAAAAGUGCUCUACAAAAAUGGUGCCUGACUACUCACUGAUCGAAAAAGGAUAACAACCCAGGCUUCCGGCUUAUCUAGACAUAAUCUGACCUCACAAAUCUUUGUUUUUCUGGAUGGAACCGACACCUCAGGACGCAAAACAACAUACGCUUCUCUCAUAAAUAGAAUCGAUUCGGUGAAUCCCCAACUCGGCGACGAAAGAAGAUAAAACGGAAAGCGAGACGCGAAAAUGGCACUUCCGAAGAUUAUUAUUGAGCUUAUGAGAAAAUCUGGCUGUCAAACGGUGGCACAUCUGAUAUCGACCAUUUCCGGCUUGUUGCUGGUUCUGACACUGGUUGCCCUUGAUGGAGAGUUUCAAUCCGAUUCGUCUGAUGGAAGCAGCAGCAGCAGCAGUGGCGGCAAUUUUUAUGGAAAACAUGAUUUCAAGAAGUUGAUCCAAUAAAAUUAUCGAUGAAAUUAA